UAAUUCCAGCUCCAAUAGCGUAUAUUUAAGUUGUUGCAGUUAAAAAGCUCAUAGUUGGAUCUUGGGUCGUAAAGGUCGGUCCGCCUACUCGGUGUGCACCUGCCCUUCUGUCCCUUUUGCCGACGGCGUGCUCCUGGCCUUAAUUGGCUGGGCCACGGUUUUGGCAUUGUUACUUUGAAAAAAUUAGAAUGCUCAAAGCAAGCUUAUGCUCUGAAUACAUUAGCAUGGAAUAACGCGAUAGGAGUUUGGUCCUAUUGUGUUGGCCUUCGGGACUGGAGUAAUGAUUAAUAGGGACUGUCGGGAGAAUUCGUAUUUCAUUGUCAGAGGUGAAAUUAUUGGAUUUAUGAAAGACGAACCACUGCGAAAGCAUUUGCCAAGGAUGUUUUCAUUAAUCAAGAACGAAAGUUGGGGGCUCGAAGACGAUCAAAUACCAUCCUAGUCUCAACCAUAAACGAUGCCGACCAGGGAUCGACGAAUGUUUCUCUAAGGAAUCCACCAACACCUUCUGAGAAAUUAGAGUGUUUGGGUUCUGGGGGGAGUAUGGUCACCAGGCUGAAACUUAAAGGAAUUGACGGAAGGGCACCACCAGGAGUGGAGCCUGCAGCUUAAUUUGACUCAACACGGGAAAACUUACCAGGUCCAAACAUAGUAAGGAUUGACAGAUUGAGAGAUAUUUCUUGAUUCUAUGGGUGGUGGUGCAUGGUCGUUCUUAGUUGGUGGAGUGAUUUGUCUGGUUAAUUCCGAUAACGAACGAGACCUCAGCCUGCUAACUAGAUACGUGGAGGUUCCCCUUCGCGGCAAGCUUCUUAGAGGGACUAUGGCCAUUUAGGCCAUGGAAGUUUGAGGCAAUAAUAGGUCUAUGAUGACCUUAGAUGUUCUGGGAUGCACGCGCGCUACACUGAUGCAGUCAACGAGUUUUUCUCCCUAGUUUGAGAGGAUCAGGAAAUCUUCUCAAAUUUCAUCGUGAUGGGGAUAGACCAUUGCAAUUAUUGGUCUUCAAUGAGGAAUUCCCAUUAAGC
rnacentral:ncRNA from 1 species